rnacentral:rRNA from 1 species
UACGAAGGGGGCUAGCGUUGCUCGGAAUCACUGGGCGUAAAGCGCACGUAGGCGGCUUUUCAAGUCAGGGGUGAAAUCCUGGAGCUCAACUCCAGAACUGCCUUUGAUACUGAAGAGCUCGAGUCCGGGAGAGGUGAGUGGAACUGCGAGUGUAGAGGUGAAAUUCGUAGAUAUUCGCAAGAACACCAGUGGCGAAGGCGGCUCACUGGCCCGGUACUGACGCUGAGGUGCGAAAGCUAGGGGAGCAAACAGG